AGCAGCCGCGGUAAUUCCAGCUCCAAUAGCGUAUAUUAAAGUUGUUGCAGUUAAAAAGCUCGUAGUUGAAUUUCGGGAUCUGUCUAUCGGUCGGGCUUUAUUGUCCGCACUGAUUUGAUGGAUUCUUACCUUCUGAAUAACCAUCAUGCCAUUAAUUUGGUGCGUUGGGGAAGCAGAGCUAUUACCUUGAAAAAUUAGAGUGCUUAAAGCAGGCUAGUGCUUGAAUAGAUUAGCAUGGAAUAAUAAAAUAGGACGGCAUGGUUCUAUUUUGUUGGUUUCUAGGAUCACCGUAAUGAUUAAUAGGGAUAGUUGGGGGCAUUAGUAUUCAAUUGUCAGAGGUGAAAUUCUUGGAUUUAUUGAAGACUAACUACUGCGAAAGCAUUUGCCAAGGAUGUUUUCAUUAAUCAAGAACGAAAGUUAGGGGAUCGAAGACGAUCAGAUACCGUCGUA
rnacentral:rRNA from 1 species